rnacentral:tRNA from 1 species
GGCUGGUUAGCUCAGUGGUUUGAGCACGGUGCUGACAAUAAUGUCAACGCUGAGGUCGCGGGUUCGAUUCCCGCUCAGUCC